rnacentral:rRNA from 1 species
AGUGAACGCUGGCGGUAGGCCUAACACAUGCAAGUCGAACGGCAGCACAGUAAGAGCUUGCUCUUACGGGUGGCGAGUGGCGGACGGGUGAGGAAUACAUCGGAAUCUACUUUUUCGUGGGGGAUAACGUAGGGAAACUUACGCUACUACCGCAUACGACCUACGGGUGAAAGCAGGAGAUCUUCGGACCUUGCGCGAUUGAAUGAGCCGAUGUCGGAUUAGCUAGUUGGCGGGGUAAAGGCCCACCAAGGCGACGAUCCGUAGCUGGUCUGAGAGGAUGAUCAGCCACACUGGAACUGAGACACGGUCCAGACUCCUACGGGAGGCAGCAGUGGGGAAUAUUGGACAAUGGGCGCAAGCCUGAUCCAGCCAUACCGCGUGGGUGAAGAAGGCCUUCGGGUUGUAAAGCCCUUUUGUUGGGAAAGAAAAGCAGCAUGUUAAUCCCCCGCUGUUCUGACGGUACCCAAAGAAUAAGCACCGGCUAACUUCGUG